GGUUCCGUGGUGUAGUGGUCAUCACGUUCGCUUUUUACAUGCGAAAGGUCCCGGUUCGAUCGGCGGAACCA